GUGAGCAGGGGAGGGGCAGAGAGGCUCCAGGCUUUGUCAACACACAGCCCCAACAUGGGGCCUGAACUCUCGGGCUGCGAGAUCAUGACCUGAGCUGAAGUCGAGUGGUUAACCAACUGAGCCACCCAGGCGCCCCGGGAACUGACAAUUUCAAACAGAGGUAACUGUGUGAGCAAAGGCCCUGUGGCAUGAAGAAUCGUGACCUGAGAGGCCACCGUGGCAUCUGUCUGAAGGAGCAGGAUACGGAGUUUCUUCUUUGUUUUAGAGCAAUAGCAGCCGUUGCAGGGUUUUAAGCAGAAAGGCGGCGUUCUCAGAAUUCAGCUUCCAAAAGAUCACUCCGGCUCCUGAGUGGAGGUGGUGGUGGAAAAAUGCCCAGUGAAAGGAUAGUGCAGGGAUCCGGGCUGUUACAGGACGAGGCUCCUGGAGUCAUGUGGACAGGAGGCCGCGGUGGCUUAGGUGGAGAAUGGAUUUGGGAGGUAUCUAGCGGACGAAAUCAACAAGACUGGAUGUUCGGAUCAGAAUGGGGGUGAGGGAGAAAGGGCAGUGAAGGGUGAGGCCUAGAUGUCUGGCUUACGUAACGGAAAAGGUGGGCGUGGCUUCUGCUGAGAUCAGGGAAGUAGAAGGGAGCCACGGAUGGGUGGGUGGGAAGUUCAGGAAGUUAGUUCUGGAACUGUAGGGAUAGCUGGGAGCCGUCCACGUGGAGGCAAGCCGGCAGGGGGGAAACCGGGUCUGAAGCUCGGCCGGAAUGUGUGGUCUGGAGACGCGCGUUUGGAAGUCAUGGGGGGAGAGAGAGAGAGAGAGAGACAGAGUGUGAGCGCGGGAGGGGCAGAGAGCGAGGAAGACACAGAAUCCGAAGCAGGAGCCAAGCUCCGAGCUGUCGGCGCAGAGCCCAACGCGGGGCUUGAACUCACAAACCGUGAGAUCAUGACCUGAGCUGAAGCCGGCUGCUCAACCGACUGAGCCACCCAGGUUGGCUCCAUGCCCAAAGUGGGGCUUGAACUCACAGCCCCAAGAUCAAGAGUCACAUGCGCUGCUGACUGAGCCGGCCAGGCAUCCCUGGGUCUAUUUUUAUUAACACAUGUCUUUUCCUGGAUAUGAGCUACCAUAUUCUGCUUUUAUUUUUUGCAUAUCUAGUAAUUUUUAUUGGAUGAUGGAAAUUAUGAAUAUUAUGUUGUUGGGUGUCUGAAUUUUUAUAAAAACUUCUUUUAAAGAGUGUUGAAUUUUAUUAUGACUGGAAGGCAGGUUAUCUGUGGAUCAGUUUAUCCUUUUGAUGCUUUUUUAAAACAUGUAUUUAUCUAAUUUUGAGAGAGAGAGGGAGUGCAUGCAUGCACAAGCAGGGAAGGGGAAGAGAGAGAGGGGGCGAGCAAGCUUCAGGCUCUGAGCUGUCAGCACAGAGCCUGACACUGGGCUUGAACUCACAAACUGGGAGAUCAUGACCUGAGCCUAAGUCGGAUACUUAACUGACUGAGCCACCCAAGUGCCCCUUGAUGCUUCUUCAUAAGCUUUGUUAAGAUGGGUCUACAGUAGCCUUAGCUUUAGCACUAAGUUGCAAUACUUCUAUGGUCUCCACUGAAUGCUCCAUGUUUUCAAUAUGGUCUCCCCAUUCUAGUUUUCUAAUGGGACAAUCAAGCAUCCCCAGCCGCAUGUGAGCUCUGGGAAUUUUUCAGCUCACGGCUCUUUGCGAGACCUCAUGGGGUUUCGCACCGCACAUGCGCAACGUAGUAUUCUGCCGAAACACCUAAACCGACUGUUGUGCGGAUUUGCCUGUUUCUUGAGCUCUUGCCCUGCCCAGUUCCCAUUUCCCCCAGCAUCCUGCCCUACAAAUUCCAUUCACCUCAGCAUUCCCAAACUCCAAUCCCAGUGUCUUCAGUUCAGGGAGAACAUCGCAGUCUGCCUGGUUCCCCCUUACUGGACUGCAGUCUGGAAAACGCCUCUAGUCAGAUGCCAACAGUGAUCACCAAUGUGAUCUUAGUUGGUUCAUUUCUCUCAAG